rnacentral:lncRNA from 1 species
GCCGCCGCCGCAGCCUCCCCCUCGGCGCAGGGGGAACUUUUCUACUCUCUGUGACGGUCUCCCCCGCCGCCCCCGGGGGCAAGCCCAGCUGGUCCGCCCGCCCCGCCCGCGGUCGUGCUCCCAGCCCGAGCCUCUGCGCCUCGGGAAGUUUAUUCUGCCCGCCCUCCUCCCCUUCCUCCUCCUCUUCACCCCGCCUCCCCGCCCUCCCCCGGCUCUUUCCCCCGGGUGGCUGCCGCUGCCGCCGCUGCCGCUGCCA